UUUAAGACCGAGGGUUUGUCCUGGAUUUCCCUCGCGGCUGGCCGUGCCGCUGAGGCGUUGAAGCGUACAGGCGCCUGGGUCGACCCGGUCACCGACUGGCUGUGCGGCCUCGGCCUUUGUGACCCAAUAUUCUCGUCUUAAGUGGGGAUGAUAACAUCAAUACCUUCCUAGAAGUGUCUUGCGAAGAUUAAGUGUAAAUAUGAUGCCUGACCAUAGGAAGCGUUUCCAAAGUGUUAAUUAUCGCCGUCUCAAUUGAAAAAGGUAGGAGUAAGGUAGAGAAAUGGAAGCUCCUGGUUUGGUCUCCGGAACAAGAGGCGGGAGCUCUGCAGACUAGGAAACAGCCCCCACGUUGCACCCACGUCCACCUGGGCUGCGAGAGCCGGGAAAGACAGCGCCAAGAUAAGAUAUUACAGGUGGAAGAAGGUCCAUAUCUUUUUCUCCCGGUGCCUCAGGUGUCUGUGGAAGUGGAGGCAACAGUAAGAAGCAGCUUCUCCUGCAGGACAUAGCUGAACUGAUUAAAACCAGAGCCUGCCGGCGGGUGGUGGUCAUGGUAGGGGCCGGCAUCAGCACGCCCAGCGGCAUUCCAGACUUCAGAUCUCCAGGGACUGGCUACUACAGCACCCUCCAAAGCUACGACCUCCCCUACCCCGAGGCCAUUUUUGAGCUCUCAUUUUUCUUCCACAAUCCCAAGCCGUUUUUCACUUUCGCCAAGGAGCUGUACCCUGGGAACUAUAGGCCUAACACUGCUCACUACUUCCUCCGCCUGCUGCAUGACAAGGGGCUGCUCCUGCGGCUCUACACCCAGAACAUCGACGGGCUUGAGAGAGCGUCUGGCAUCCCUGCCUCAAAGCUGGUUGAAGCUCAUGGAUCCUUUGCCUCUGCCACCUGCACCGUUUGCCGAAGACCCUUCCCAGGGGAGGACUUCUGGGCCGACGUGAUGGUGGACAGCGUGCCGCGCUGCCGGGUCUGUGCUGGCGUCGUGAAGCCCGACAUCGUGUUCUUUGGGGAGCCGCUGCCCCCGAGGUUCCUGCUGCAUCUGGCUGACUUCCCCGUGGCAGAUCUGCUGCUCAUCCUUGGGACCUCCCUGGAGGUGGAACCUUUUGCCAGCUUGUCUGAGGCUGUGCGGAGCUCAGUGCCCCGACUGCUCAUCAACCGGGACUUGGUGGGGACCUUGGCGAGGCAUCCUCGGGGCAGGGAUGUGGUCCAGCUGGGGGACUUGGUUCACGGCGUGAAAAGGCUGGUGGAGCUUCUGGGCUGGACCGAGGAGAUGCAGGACCUCAUCCAGCAGGAGACUGGAAAGGUACGGAUUGCUGAGCAGUCACAGGAGGGCCGUUUCCUCUGCUGUGGGGUCGGUCCACCUGGGAUGGAGCCACAGUAAUAGGUCACAUGGCUGGUAACCCUGUAUCAGGCACUGUCUGGUCCAUCUUCCACCUCUGUGCUUGUGAACGAGGUGCUGUGAUGAAGUGACGAGAUGAAGAAAUGGACGCUUUGUGCCUGCUCUGUGUGCCAGAGCGGGGACAAGGGUCCGGGCAGAUGUGGCUGUUGUUCUGUCGUCAUCACACUUCAGCUGUCUUUUGUACCAUAAACUAAAGGAGCACCAAACAACUCCAGGCUAAGAUGGGAUUCUGAAGUUCUCUGAACCUGUGAGGCUGAUGCUUUUAGAAGAGAAUCAGUGUGAGAGCAGUUGACUUAUUAUCAUCUGCCAAGGGUAGAAAGCCAAAGAGCUCUGAUCUCCAUAGACGUCAAACCUGUCAGUGAGUGAAGGUGUGGAAGAGGAUUUCCCACGCGAAUCAUUUAGCAUGUGUAGCCUUGACGUGAGGGGUUAUUUUCUACAGGAGGCAGCAUUAAGCCUUUGAAGUUCAGUUGUCUCAAGGAGGAUUGUGGCCGAUUACAGCCAGGCAUAACACUGCCCACCGUGGACCUCACCAGAGUGCUGUAUGUUCUUGCUGUCUUGCGAACCCUCCACCCUUUGGCUGUGACUGGCUCAGGACCUUGGGUCAGCCCUGUCCUCACUUCCAUUGCCAAAAGCCCCAGCCUCUGGUCACAGCCUGAUUUCGUACCAUGUUGAACCAAAGCGAGACGAAUACGAGGCUUUGUGAGGAUACGAGACUUUGCAGUUACUGUUUUCACAGUGUUAGACAUUGCCUUUCAGGGCUUGGCUCUUAGAGGUAAGAUGUAGGCUGGUGACAUUUCUCAUCACACCAUGUGGAAGAAAUAAAGACCUUCAAAUACCAGUCACCUUGCUGGGUCACUUAGUGGAAGCAAGCUUACAUGUUGCCUCUCAAGAGGAACAGCAGAGAUGCUUCACUCACAGGGCGGUAGAGACCUCGGCCAGACCCCCCGGCCUGCCUUCCCGCUUCCGUGUGACAGUGGGACAACUCAGUUUGAUGGUUGGGACAAAUAGGAGGGCUGUACCAGAAUUGGUUACGUGGGAGUCACUGCCCUCUUCCAACAACGCCUUGUGUCUGAAGAACAGCUCGGGCACAUUUACAAAUUUUGGCUGAACCAGAACAUGCAACUUGAGGCGGCCCCUGGAGUGUCCUUCUAGGUUGUAUGCUCUGUGCAUUUGGGCCACCCAGGCGUAGGGCAAAAGAGCUGCCUGGCCUGACUCUUCACUCUGCUGAAGCUUUUAAUGCCAAAAGCUUUCUUCUGAUGGUGAUCCUUCUUGAACUCAGAGACGGACUGGAACCCAGACUGGACUCUAUCUGAAGGGCGGGCUCAGCAUCUGUCCACUGGAAAGACCCAGGCACAACCCAGGUGUGUGCCUGGGGCCCAGGUAAUGUGCUUGGGUUUUCUAGCACGUUGGUCUGUUUAGUAGGUUCAUUUUUAAGUUUGUCCUUUCUGGCAUGAAAUAAAUUUUAAUAUAGAAAGUG